CCUACGGGCGGCUGCAGUGGGGAAUAUUGGGCAAUGGAGGAAACUCUGACCCAGCAACGCCGCGUGAAUGAUGAAGGUCUUCGGAUUGUAAAGUUCUUUUCUAAGGGAAGAAGAAAGUGACGGUACCUUAGGAAUAAGCCGCGGCUAACGACGUGACAGCAGCCGCGGUAAUACGUAGGAGGCGAGCGUUAUCCGGAUUGACUGGGCGUAAAGGGUGCGUAGGGGGUUUGGCAAGUUAGUAGCGAAACUCCAGGGCUCAACCUUGGAACUACUACUGAAACUGUUGGGCUUGAGUGCAGGAGAGGCAACCGGAAUUCCUAGUGUAGCGGUGGAAUGCGUAGAUAUUAGGAGGAACACCAGUGGCGAAGGCGGGUUGCUGGACUGUAACUGACGCUGAGGCACGAAAGCGUGGGGAGCAAACAGGAUUAGAUACCCGGGUAGUC
rnacentral:rRNA from 1 species